rnacentral:rRNA from 1 species
UAGGGAAUCUUCGGCAAUGGACGGAAGUCUGACCGAGCAACGCUGCGUGAGUGAAGAAGGUUUUCGGAUCGUAAAGCUCUGUUGUUAGAGAAGAACGUUGGUAGGAGUGGAAAAUCUACCAAGUGACGGUAACUAACCAGAAAGGGACGGCUAACUACGUGCCAGCAGCCGCGGUAAUACGUAGGUCCCGAGCGUUGUCCGGAUUUAUUGGGCGUAAAGCGAGCGCAGGCGGUUCUUUAAGUCUGAAGUUAAAGGCAGUGGCUUAACCAUUGUACGCUUUGGAAACUGGAGGACUUGAGUGCAGAAGGGGAGAGUGGAAUUCCAUGUGUAGCGGUGAAAUGCGUAGAUAUAUGGAGGAACACCGGUGGCGAAAGCGGCUCUCUGGUCUGUAACUGACGCUGAGGCUCGAAAACGUGGGGAGCAAACAGG